ACUGCCUGACUUCCUGCUGGAUGACAGAAGGGAUCUCACAGGCUGAAGGAGUCAGCUGCGGGGGCUGGGCUUAGAGAGGAGGAGGCUCCCCCUGCAGUCGGCAAGCCCGGGAGGCUGGAGAUGGAGGCUGGAGAUGCUUGUGCCACGUCCGCUUGCUGGGGCGCAGGAGAAGGGCUGUAGAGUGUCGGGACCCCCGCAACUCUGCCGCAGAACACCCCCGAAAAAACUUGGCAAAAAUGUGAGUGCCUCACUGCCGGUGCAAAUGGACAGAGGUUUGUUUGCAUAGGGCCACUUAGGGUGGGCUGCCGGCUGAGGAGUGAGCCUCUCUCUGAUCCUGCCACAAACAGCAGCAACGUGAUAUCUCAAAGAGGAGACAGCACCAGGGGCUCCGGGGGGACAGCAGGUCCAGGUGAUGCGGCAGAAGUGGCUCUCAGAGGCCGUCAGAGAGACCAGGAUCUGAGACUCUGGUCUUAGGGACACGACUGAGGGUCCCCUUCCACCUAAGUGCCGGAUGGAAAAGGAACAAGGAUUUUUCCACACGCCCCUAAGCAAAACCAGCUGAGCCGAGUUAACUCAAACUUCUCAAAAACCAUUCACCUCUGCACUUCGACCAGAUAUGGAAUGCUUCAACCCUAAAGUAUUCUGGAGGCGGGGGGGGGGGGCUGUCAGAAAACCCACAAGUGAUUUGGAACAGGGUCAGAGUGAAAUCAUCGUGAGUCCAAGCACAUUUCAGCCACCAGACUCGGGUGCCAUGUCCACAGCAGGAAACCCUAAUCUGGAAAACCCUUCUGAGCCUGAGCCGUGGAAGGGGACAGCUCCCAAACGCUGAUCUGUGAACCGAGUUUUCACGCAUCCCUGGUGAGGUUAGAGAAACAGGAACGAUACAGAGAGGUUUCUGUAACACCAAACGUAUU